UAGUUAUCUGUAGUGAUAUUGCAUUGGUCGACAUCACUGGUCGAUCAAUAGGGACGAGAAACGAAAUCAACAAAAAAAAAAAAACAAACAUGAACAAGUAACUAAUUGUAACUCUGGUACAGCUAAACAUAAUGGCGUAAUCGUUAGAGUUAUCAGUAAGAACUUUAUAAAUUUUAAUUUGUGUAUACGCAAGUGAAUGGAUCACAGUUUCAUAAGCUGCUCUGACCCGUUUGACCUCGCCGUAUUAUUAGGGUCAAAACAUACACAACUGGUGUCUGUUCUUGGUCGUUUUAAAGACCACAAAAUAAAAAACAUGGCGAUAGUCUUAUGGUUUAUACCAAAGCAGUUGUUCGUUGUGCUCACUAUAGACAGAAGUUAUGUCCAUCCGAGCACCCAAGUUCAUGUCUAUGUAAAAGGAUGAGAUGGUUAUUAUUAAGAACGAUCGUUUGAAUCAAAUAAAGAUUUACAUUUAAAUAAAAAUAGCCAAUUUGUUACUUUUGUAAUGGUAUGUUAUACAAUAAACAAACUACAUUUACAACAUAAUAACAUCAAACCUAAUAUUUAAUGAAUAUCACUUUAUAGUGAAUCUAAUUUUACUUUUUUAUAUUUAUUUAACUUUAUAAAAUAUAUAAGAAAAUGAUACAAUGGGUUUUAAAUCCUGAACAAAGUAAAAGGGUUUGGUUAUUAGAAGUUAAGACAGAAAGACAAACCUAGUUAACACCGGUUUCAAAAACGAGGUCAUUAUUAAAUUAUAUCAGGUAGAGCACCUGGUCGGUCUGGCAUAAAUACUCCAAGUUAACUCUAUUAUUCUGUUUUAUUUCGAGCAGAACUAUUUCGUUCAAAUAUCUUUACUCACUUGUAUACUAUUUCUUAAUUGUGGUCUUAGUUUAUAUAACAAACAAAAUUAAUAUAACAAAAAGUAACUUGAAAUUGAAAAUAGCUAUAAACUAAGCACAGAACUAAUUCAAACA